rnacentral:lncRNA from 1 species
CUCUUCACUGGAGAAACACAGCUACCAGCUCUAUUUCAACUGAAAGAGGUACUCUGAUGUUGUCCAAGCCAAAAGGCAUGCUGGAAUUCAGAUGAGAGAAUUCAGUGACUGCAACAACAGAACCUUAUUGGGACUUUGAGAGAUCAUCUGGCCUAGUAACUUCAGGCAAGGAAAAUUCUAAGCCAUGCAGUUCUGUUGGGUAGCUUCCAUGGCCAAUUUGAUUCCUCUUGAGUGACUCGAUGCUUCAGGAUGGAGAGAAAGCAUUCCAGCUGGCAUGGCCAGUGGACCACAGAAAGUAAAGAGCUAAGGAAAAGAAAUAAUUUUCAAUAAAGAAAAGGAGUCUUGGAAGUGGCAUAUUGUUAGAUUUAGAAUAAGAAGAUCCACUGAGAAUAUUCGAGUGACUGAAUAACCUCCAAGUAGAGUAAAAUAAAUCCAAGCCAGAACAGCUUUGCUCACUAGACCUUACCUGAAGGGAAAAGCUGUCUCAACGUUCUUCAGCUUCAGGGCAAUUAACUGCAAUGUGUUCAACAGAGUCCAGAGAAGGAAGAGUUUAGCAACAUCUUUUAAUGAAGAAACAUCUAGAAAGUUGAUUCCAUUUCUGCCUCUGACUUCCAUGUUCCCCUUAGGCAAUACCCAAAUACCAUGUAAAUCAUCCCUGAGUUUUAAAAACAAACCACCCAAACACAUCUUUUUUUUUUCCUUUCUCACAAUUAUUUAAUUGUCUUUCUAAUUAAUUCCACAC